AUGGCUUCCAAUGGUGUCUUCGCUGAAUUACUCCGUGCCUACAAACUUGAUGGAACAAACUACACGGUUUGGAAAAGGAAGAUUAUGUUCUUGCUUACGGCUGAGAAUAUAGAUUAUGUUUCUGAGACCGGGGCGCCUAACGAGCUAGCAGAGGAUGCUACACAUGAAGACAAACAGGAAUACAAUGAUGAACUGAAGCAAUGGACCAAGGACAACAAGACUGCCAGAGUUUAUAUUCUUGGCUCGAUGACUGAUUCGUUGGCUGCGGAAUAUGAGUCGGAUAAAACGGCCUCCGGAAUAAUGCUCAGGCUGGAACAAGAUUUUGGAGAAGUUUCCCUUGUGAAGGUGCUUAGCCUUGUGAAUAAAUUUCUGACAUCAAAGAUGGGUGAUAAAACAGUCAAUGAACACUUCAACAAGCUCUGUGUCUUGGCGGAAGAGUUAAAAACUGCUGGCUAUCCGUUCCAGGAGGAAGUCCAAGUCAUGGUUGUCCUGAACUCUUUACCACCAUCAUGGGAACAAUUCAAGAUUUCUUUUUGUCAUUCAGAGCGCACACUCAAUAUGAGGAACCUGAGGCAACACUUGCUGAUGGAGGAGGACCGCAGGCUCAACUCAGGAAAAGAUAAAGCUUUUUAUCAGCCAGAACUUCACCUUGGUGAGUACAAUAAUAGUGGGAAUCGGAGGAACUAG
rnacentral:rRNA from 1 species